GGCGAACCGUGCGAACGUUAUUCGGAAUCAUUGGGCUUAAAGCGCGUGUAGGCGGAUGGGAACGUCGAUGUUGAAAGCCCCCGGCUCAACCGGGGAACUGGCUUCGAAACGACCCGUCUGGAGGGGCAUAGGGGGACCUGGAACUUCCGGUGGAGCGGUGAAAUGCGUUGAGAUCGGAAGGAACGCCCGUGGCGAAAGCGAGGUCCUGGAUGUCUUCUGACGCUGAGACGCGAAAGCUAGGGUAGCGAACGGG
rnacentral:rRNA from 1 species